rnacentral:rRNA from 1 species
GUCGAGAAUCUUUCACAAUGGGGGCAACCCUGAUGGAGCGACGCCGCGUGGAGGAUAAGGUCUUCGGAUUGUAAACUCCUGUCAUGCGUGAACAAGGUUGCUUGGAUAAUACCUGAGCAAAUUGAUGGUAGCGCAAGAGGAAGAGACGGCUAACUCUGUGCCAGCAGCCGCGGUAAUACAGAGGUCUCAAGCGUUGUUCGGAAUCACUGGGCGUAAAGGGUGCGUAGGUGGCGUGGUAAGUCAGAUGUGAAAGCCCGGGGCUCAACCUCGGAACUGCAUCCGAUACUGCCAUGCUAGAGUACUGGAGAGGUGACUAGAAUUCUCGGUGUAGCAGUGAAAUGCGUAGAUAUCGAGAGGAAUACCAAAGGCGUAGGCAGGUCACUGGACAGUUACUGACACUGAGGCACGAAGGCCAGGGGAGCGAACGGGAUUAGAAACCCGAGUAGUCC